UACAGAGGUCUCAAGCGUUGUUCGGAUUCAUUGGGCGUAAAGGGUGCGUAGGCGGCGCGGUAAGUCGGGUGUGAAAUCUCGGGGCUUAACUCCGAAACUGCAUUCGAUACUGCCGUGCUUGAGGACUGGAGAGGAGACUGGAAUUUACGAUGUAGCGGUGAAAUGCGUAGAUAUCGUAAGGAAGACCAGUGGCGAAGGCGGGUCUCUGGACAGUUCCUGACGCUGAGGCACGAAGGCCAGGGGAGCAAACGGG
rnacentral:rRNA from 1 species